AUUGAACGCUAGCGGGAUGCCUUACACAUGCAAGUCGAACGGCGUGGCGAACGGGUGAGUAAUGUAUCGGAACGUGCCCAGUACCGGGGGAUAACUACGCGAAAGCGUAGCUAAUACCGCAUACUCUUGGCGUGGCCUAUAUCGGAUUAGCUAGUUUGUGGGGUAACGGCUCACCAAGGCGACGAUCCGUAGCUGGAUUGAGAGGACGACCAGCCACACGGGAACUGAGACACGGCCCAGACUCCUACGGGAGGCAGCAGGGGGGAAUUUUGGACAAUGGGGGAAACCCUGAUCCAGCCAUCCCGCGUGUGCGAUGAAGGCCUUCGGGUUGUAAAGCACUUUUGGCAGGAAAGCGGUACCUGCAGAAUAAGCACCGGCUAACUCCGUGCCAGCAGCCGCGGUAAUAC
rnacentral:rRNA from 1 species